rnacentral:rRNA from 1 species
UGGGGAAUAUUGCACAAUGGGCGCAAGCCUGAUGCAGCCAUGCCGCGUGUGUGAAGAAGGCCUUCGGGUUGUAAAGCACUUUCAGCGGGGAGGAAGGCGAUAAGGUUAAUAACCUCAUCGAUUGACGUUACCCGCAGAAGAAGCACCGGCUAACUCCGUGCCAGCAGCCGCGGUAAUACGGAGGGUGCAAGCGUUAAUCGGAAUUACUGGGCGUAAAGCGCACGCAGGCGGUCUGUCAAGUCGGAUGUGAAAGCCCCCGGCUCAACCGGGGAGGGUCAUUGGAAACUGGGAGACUUGAGUGCAGAAGAGGAGAGUGGAAUUCCAUGUGUAGCGGUGAAAUGCGUAGAUAUAUGGAGGAACACCAGUGGCGAAGGCGGCUCUCUGGUCUGUAACUGACGCUGAGGCUCGAAAGCGUGGGGAGCAAACAGG